GAUGAACGCUGGCGGCGUGCCUAAUACAUGCAAGUCGAGCGAACAGACGAGGAGCUUGCUCCUCUGACGUUAGCGGCGGACGGGUGAGUAACACGUGGAUAACCUACCUAUAAGACUGGGAUAACUUCGGGAAACCGGAGCUAAUACCGGAUAAUAUAUUGAACCGCAUGGUUCAAUAGUGAAAGACGGUUUUGCUGUCACUUAUAGAUGGAUCCGCGCCGCAUUAGCUAGUUAGUAAGGUAACGGCUUACCAAGGCAACGAUGCGUAGCUGACCUGAGAGGGUGAUCGGCCACACUGGAACUGAGACACGGUCCAGACUCCUACGGGAGGCAGCAGUAGGGAAUCUUCCGCAAUGGGCGAAAGCCUGACGGAGCAACGCCGCGUGAGUGAUGAAGGUCUUCGGAUCGUAAAACUCUGUUAUUAGGGAAGAACAAAUGUGUAAGUAACUAUGCACGUCUUGACGGUACCUAAUCAGAAAGCCACGGCUAACUACGUG
rnacentral:rRNA from 1 species